GAAAGACAGAGGGCAGAGACGCCCUGCAGAUGGAACUGAUCCAGGUCAGCUCCCCAUGGCAGAGAGGAGGAUGGAUUCUGAUACUGGAAGUGCAGCCGGGAGACAUCAGCAAGACAAUGACAGGAGUGGCGUCACGUCUCCACUAAUGAGAACCAGCAAUACUGAUAAUACAGAAGACAUGGCUCCUUCAGAAUAGCCAGCCAGUACAGGAAAUGAAGACAGGACUGUCACAACACAUCACAAGCGUCUCUAAGAUCCAGUGACUUCAUCGCCCCUUUCUUCACUGUGAUUCCAGCAAUGGCGGUCAUGACCUGACAAUUCUACCAUCACAAAGACUUGUAACCAUUCUCUUUUCCAGUAUCACAUUCACUCUUUAAGACCAAAGCGUUAUUCACUGACAGCAUACCUGCAUCAAGAUUAAAAGUGCCUGGAGGCCAAGGAUUCCAAUUCAACUUAGAAAAGAACUGUCUCAUUCAUUUACCUUCCUGCUGCAAUCAGCACGGAAGGUACAUUAAGGUUUUCCCCUAGAACUUGGAAGAAAUGUGUCACUAAGUGCUGAUUCAAAAUCUGAUCAACUAAUAAUGGAUGAGAGAGCAGGUAGGAGCAGAAGUCCUCAUAGCAAAAAGGUAAAAACCCAGGGCCUGGAAACCAAGGCAAUUGAUUUGCUAAGGUAUUGGAAUCUAGUGUUACGUGAAUGGUUAUAUCACCUUAACCAAUUAGAUCUAGCGUGGUGAGUCUUAUGGACCCCAAAGAGUAAGAAUGUCAGUAUUUCUAAACUGCCUAGGACAAAGAGCUCUGUCAACUCAAGAACUGACAUCUCUGGGGUUGAGUUAUACCUUCCACCAUCAGGUUUGCAUAGCUGAGUGACCCUAGCUAUGAAGAUAAUUUGAUUCACUCUUCUGGCUCAGUUGUCAUAUUGUUGAUCAGCCUUUUGUUUUUUUUUUAAUUUCGUUUUUUUCU